AGCCUGAUAGUGCAAUAGGUUAGCACGCGACCCUGGAAAGGAUGAGAUGAGGGUUAAAAUCCCUUUCAGGACUA